rnacentral:rRNA from 1 species
UACGUAGGCAGCGAGCGUUGUUCGGAAUUACUGGGCGUAAAGAGUGUGUAGGCGGUGUUCCCAGUCUGUUGUGAAAUCUCCCGGCUUAACUGGGAGGGUGCAGCGGAAACUAGAAUGCUAGAGGGUGGGAGAGGUAAGCGGAAUUCCUGGUGUAGCGGUGAAAUGCGUAGAUAUCAGGAGGAACACCUGUGGUGUAGACAGCUUACUGGACCACUUCUGACGCUGAGACGCGAAAGCGUGGGGAGCGAACCGG